UUGCACGCUGGCGGCAUGCUUUACACCUGCCAGUCGAACGGCAGCACGGGCUUCGGCCUGGUGGCGAGUGGCGAACGGGUGAGUAAUACAUCGGAACGUACCCAGAAGUGGGGGAUAACGCAGCGAAAGUUGCGCUAAUACCGCAUACGUUCUACGGAAGAAAGUGGGGGAUCGCAAGACCUCAUGCUUUUGGAGCGGCCGAUGUCUGAUUAGCUAGUUGGUGGGGUAAAGGCUCACCAAGGCGACGAUCAGUAGCUGGUCUGAGAGGACGACCAGCCACACUGGAACUGAGACACGGUCCAGACUCCUACGGGAGGCAGCAGUGGGGAAUUUUGGACAAUGGGCGCAAGCCUGAUCCAGCAAUGCCGCGUGAGUGAAGAAGGCCUUCGGGUUGUAAAGCUCUUUUGUCAGGGAAGAAACGGCUCCGGCUAAUAUCCGGGGCUAAUGACGGUACCUGAAGAAUAAGCACCGGCUAACUACGUG
rnacentral:rRNA from 1 species